rnacentral:lncRNA from 1 species
ACAUUGGGGUGACUGUCCAAAUUUCCCUCCCCUCUAUUAUGCUAACCGGGUUGCUAGUUCUUCUUAUGAGCUUGAUAGGUUCUAUGAUAAAGAGAAGGAAGAGGGACACACCGAGUCCGAUAGCAUUGACCCAAGGCUACUAGAUAUUUUGGAUCGGUUGGAUACAACGGAUGAGAAUCUAGAUGACAUGCAUCAAGAGGCAUUAGGAUGGAAAAUUGUCAAGAUGGGGGAAAUGAGUAAAGAAGAAAAGCUUGAACUAUCACUAACUUGCCCAUUUCCCAAGAGGAGGUUCAUCAAGAAGAAAAACUAAGCUAUGAUGAUGAGCUUGGUAUCGAAGACUCCUCGGUGACUUCCCAAUAUACCAAAUCAAAUGAGGAAGAAGAAGACAAAAUAAUAGGAAUGGUGUUAGAGUCUCAAGAAAAAGCAAGGCAAAUCUCUUAAGAUAACUCUGACUCAUUCCAGGUUGAAGUGCUUUAGAGAAAGCUAUUUCAAAAUUAGGGGUCGAACCUCAUUCAACUCACUUUUAAACAUUGUUCCUCAAGGAUGUGAUGAGAAUCUAUCCACAAAGACAAAUGAUGGAUUGUGGGGAAACAGAGUACGAUUCCUACAUUGCAGAAUUUGACAUUUCGAAAGAGAAUAUGGAACCCCAUCUAACAGAGUCCAAGGGAAUCAACUUUCGAUGUAUAUGGAAUGGCCUAUUGAUAUGAUCACUUUUACCCAAGGAUCUCAACUAAGAAUUUGAUGCAAAGUUGGGUAACAGGUUCAAGUCUUCAAAAUUGCGAGAUCGAAGCUUGAUCGUUAUUUUCUCGCCUCUUCCAAGUUUCACCUUCGAAGACUUAAACCUUUUACCCAACUUCCCCCUACCAAUUAUUAUAUAUUGAAUAAAAGUUAGGACGAAUAUUUAAAUCCUCUAAGUGGAAACAUAAAAAAGGAAAUGGAGACGUCGUGAUAUGAUGUUAAACUAAGUACUCGAUGGAAGGCAACCCAUCACGCAACAAAAAGUGGCGUAUAUCCUUUUGAUUUAUGCAUGUAGAGUAGAUUUCAUUUUUGUUGUUUUGCAUGCAGAAUUUAUGAAAUGUUGGUACUAAGAGAAAUUUUUAUUGAAUUUGAAAAAGAAACAUGUGACAUUGGCAAUUUUGGACUAAGUAGGAAAUACUAAAAACCUGAUUAUUUGGUCUCAGUUACCGCGACCGAGGUCUGUGUCACCGCGAUCGUAGAGGUUGUAUGUCCGUGGUCAUGGUAUUAGGACUGUGAUUGCGGUCAGAUCAGUGUAAAUGACCAUCCAAAUACCACUUUCCCCCUACUUCCUCUCCCAUUUUCUCUAAAAAUUCUCUUUAAUUUUGGGCAUUACAUUGCAUAUCCAAGCAUAAAUUCAUCCCUUGCAUCAUCUAAUAUUGUAAUUUGUCUCAAUUUUCUUGGUUUUGAUAUAAUUGCAUGCUUAGAACUUUUAGUUUAGGGAAAAUCCUGAAAGAUUAUUUUCAAUACUAAAUGCAUGCUUGUUCGAAAUUGUGGUUGUGGUUAGCUGUUGUAAUUGGUGUACACAUUCAUGGGGAAGUCUUAAGUACCCAUAUUUAAGCCUUAAACGAUUGAAAAGAAUGUGUACACCAUGUGUUCGAUUCAAAGCCCCUAUGAAUUCCAUGUUAAAAUUCUCAAGGUUGGGGUUAUAAUCAUGAAGUCUAGGCUUAAGUUCCUUGAUCAUAAUAUUUAGGUGCCUAGUUGAAUACAAAAUUGGGGAUAAAAUUAUGGUUUUGGUGAAAAGUGUUGAACUGUCAACUAUGGUCUCAGGUACCACGAUUGCGGUCCCGAUGAUCACGAUUGCGGCCACUGAUCCACGAUCUCCAUACUUAAGGGCAAUGUCUGCAGAAACCAAAAUUUCUGCACAACUAUUUCUUUCCCCCAGAACCUUCUAACACACUACCACAUAAGCCUAUUUGAUUAAUCUAGCAUGUUUUAAAGUAUCAUAAUGAUAAUGAUUACCUGGAAUGUAUUGUUUAUAAGUAUUAAGUCACCUUAGAGAUGGAUAAACUUGACAACACAAUAUUCAUGACCCCACACUGUUAGAACUACUACAAUUCGGACUUGCACAGAAAUAAGUUGCUCCCUAAAAGGGGUAUCAGCUUAGAUAAAGUCGAGGAAAAGUUAACAAGUUUUCAUGCCAAACUUGAGCAGACCGGGUGGAUGUGUUUUUCCUUAUACCCCUGUGUUUCCAAUAAGCACUAGGUACUUGAAUUUUAUUUUAACCUAAGCGUAGCUUCUUUCACAAACCCGGUAAUUACUAUUAGUGGAAGGUAAGUAAACUUCGGGACAUAGCAAAUUAACAAGGGAUGUUGGCUCAAGGAUGCUAACAUGGAGUAGUUUCACGCAAAAACAUGUGCGUCAGGGACCUGGAUGGUGGAUAUUUUAUAUGUUGGCAAAGAGGUUCCUUGGGCCACAACCAAGAGAGAUAUUCUGAUGAAUGAUUUCACAACUGAGGCUAGGCUUUAGCUAAAUAUUAUAUGUAGCCGAGUAUCGCUUUACACUCGCAUGACUAUUGUCACAGACAUGCGAGAUCGGAUGGUAUCAUGUCUCUUCUCUCUAGUAUCUCCUUAAAUAUGGGUGAGAUUUUUUAUUCAGAAUAGAAGUACUUCAGAAAUAAUAGAGUUAAACAUCUUCUCCUUCCUUCCCUUAUCACAGAGCUAUGCAGGAGAGAACGGGUGGAGGAGUAUGCUACAGAUACCUGGGUGCACCCAGGCCCCCUCAUGUUUCCACUCAAAUUUAGAAGUGAGGAUGCCCCAGGUUAAAGCAAAAAGAGAAAGAUGUACUUGAGCAAAUCAGUCCAAGAGGAUACAGACUCUUGCAGACCCUCAUCAGCCACAACCUUUAAUAACAUCUCUAGUCAGAUGUAGGUGGUGAGAGAAAUACUAUAUAGACUACCUCAAGGAAUAGAAGAGUCCUCCACUACUCACCACUCAUACGUAUCUCAAUUAAACAAUGAGAUAUACAGAGAGGAGCAGGAAAAGUUGGGAGCCUGUAAUACCCCGAACUUUCUUUAAGUCAAAUCUAGUCUCUAGAAGAGUUAGUGAUAACUUCCUAAAUGAUUAAUGUUUUAAUCAGAUAGAAUUUCCCCAAUUUUAACUUUUUAUCAUAUGGGAAAUUGAAUUAGCUUUCCAACUUUACCAAUUUAGUCCAAAUCUUGUAUCGGAGUAAAAAGUUAUGGACUUUUUACAUAGAACUAUCGGAACUACCCAAAAGCAAUGGUCAGGCUGAUGGACCGUCAAGAUAGUGACGGAUCAUCGCCCAAGUCAUUGAGACUAAGGCAGUGAACCCAUUUUCUGGCCAAGUGCGACGAUCAGGACUGACGGACCAUUGAGCUAGCGAUGGACCAUCACCCAAACCAUCGCAGACGAAGAAGAAAGUUCAGGUUCUGGCCAAGUACAAUGGGAUAGACCAACGAACCAUCGCGCCAGUGAAGGACCAUCGCCCAAACCAUUGGCACUUUUGAUCAGCCAUUUUAAUCUAUUUUUAAAAGGGUAUUUGGGUCUUUUUCCACCCGUUCUGACCCCUAAUUAUACCAGACCGGAGCUCAUAACUUUUUUAUUCAUCUAUAACACCAAAUUAGGGUUUCCCUCAAAUAUCAAUUCCUAAGAACAAUAAACCCUAGGUGUUUAAUUUCAAAUCAAGGAUUCAAGCUUUCCUCCACCAAUCUUUAAGAAAUCAUCCACCCAGGUAUGCAUAGUGUUCAUUCAUGGAUUCAUUUCAUCCAUGAAGUUCAAGAAUCCUAUUUUAAAUUAUAUAUCAUGAUGUUCAUGUUAUGGUUGAUUAUGUUCAUGUUAUUAUUGUUGUAUGAUUCCCAAGUUGGAAUCUUUAUGUGUUGUUCAUGAAAGCAUGAUAGUAUGUUGAUUUGAAAUCUUUAAAUUUAGUUGAUUCAUGGAGUUUUGAAGUAUUAAUUUGAUGAUCAUGCCUAAGCCCCAAGUCAUGCAUCCUAGGUGUUUGAUAAAAUGCCUAAGAAGAUAGAAAUUAUGCAUUAUACAUCAAUUAUGAUCUAAAUGAUAGAUGCAUGUUUUACCCUUAUGCUCAAAAUGACCUCCAUGUUAUUCUUAUGUAUUGAAAUUAUUUCUUGGAUUGCUCAUGAAUUAGCCUUAUGAAAUUAUGCCAUGUUUACAUGCAAUCCUAUUCAUAUACCAAGCUAUGAUAAUUAAAUGCCUCAUGAAAUAUCCCCAACUAUUGUAGUAUGAAUUAUUGAUGUUGGUCAUGUGUUCAAGAAGUGUCAUGCCUUGUCAGUUUCCUCCUAUCGAGUCCUGGGGGUACUUGUACCUGACUAGCUGUGUGCCUAGAUCCAGUGUCAUUUUUCAAGAUACUCUCAGUCAAUCCAUGUUCGGUAGAAUUCAGUCAGUCUCAUGACUCAGGAAAACUCAGUAAUCUCAAUCUGUUAUUAGAUCUCAGUAAUAUUUCAUCAGUCAAUGCAACUUAGUGAACUCAAUCUAGUAAGUUUAGUAUAAUUAAUUCAGUGUCUAAUCAGAUGGCAGUAGGAUUCAGCACCGAGUGAGCCCAAGGAUAGGAACUCACCUGCGAGUAGAGGAUGUGAUUCUUAGAAGUAAUCCUUGCAUUCCAGAACUACGUAGUCAUCAUAGGUUAAGACAUCAAACCUACUAGUUGAGGAUAGAUGAGGUGUCUUAGACUGUCAUAUGAGGGUCCCAUCGUUCUCCUUAGAGUACCUAUUAGAUGAGUGAUUACUCACAGCUUGUCCUUACCAGUGGCGCGGUAUUAACACCCUUCCAAUUGGGGUUACAAAUUGAACCCCAACUCAAUUAUAUUAUCUUAUUUAGGGCAUGUUAGUUAGAUGACUACUUCUCACAAUUAUAGUCUCAGUCUCAGUCUCAAUAAUAGAACUCAAAUAGUUCUACAGAAUUUAGGACUAUCAGAUACAGUCACCUAGUUCAGUAUCGAACUCAGCUAGUUCCAUUAGAAAUAGGACUGUCAGACACAGUCAUUCAGAUAAUAGUAUAUCAGUUAUAUGAAAAUUAUGUUAUCAGUAUUCAAAUUCAGUGAUACCAUGAUCUUAGUCAUAGUUUAUGUAUUCAUGCAUGUAUUCUCACGCUCAUGUUAUUCAAUCAGUUAGUAUUGUUUAUAUAUAUAAACCCCUUGCAUUCAGCCUACCUCACUUGCAUACUAGUACAUUCAAUCGUACUGAUGCAUUUGCGCUGUGGUGUUUUAUACCAUAGGUUCAGAAGUACGAGCUUCAGAGCAUCCUUAGUUGAUUAGACGUUCAGCAGCCAGACUAGCAGUGAGUCCUCAUCAUUUGAGAAUAGCAUGAUUAUUUUAUUACCUUAUUAUUUCAGUAGUCUAGAUUUAGUUUGGGACAUGUCCCAUCAACUCCAUAGUUUUUAGAUAGUUUAGAGGCUUUCAGACUAGCAUGUUCAGACAGUUAUUUUAGUUUUCGUAUAGUGAUACCAUAUUAUUCAUAUGUUAUAUGUUAUUAGAUAUUUGAACCUUAUGGCCUUUCAACCUUUUUUCUAUAUUUAUACAGUAUAUUAUGCAGUGCCAGUUACAGAUAUCAGUCAUGGGUUAGCUUGUAUUCCUUUAGGGUCAUGAGCACUGUGUACCAUUACGGGUACUAGAUUCGGGCAUUACAGAACCACUGUCGUCCAUCUAGAGAGAGCUUAUUUAGCCUUAGAUGUAUCACAUAGGAACCUCAGAGAUUCACAUAAAAACUGGUGAAGAGAGAAAAGAAGUGAGAUAAAUUCAUCAAGAAGUUGUAGAAGGGGGUGAAAGGCAUUUUCAAGGUGCUCAAGCUCAACCAUAGACUACCUUCACCUAGGAUGGAUAGUGUGGAUAAGGCCCCUGCUGAUUGUUAUGUUGAUGAUGCUGAGGGUGAUAGUGCAGAGUUAGCGAGAGAAGAUAGUUCUUGAUGCAUAUUCGGGGAGACCCCUUUUACUUUUGCUUACUUGCACAUGCAGUGAGGACACUACAUUUUUAUAGUUAAGGUACCCCUGGACUUGUACUAUUUUGGUGUUGUGUGUCGACUAUUGUUAUUGAUGAUGUUUUGUAAUGAUAUUUUAGAUACUAUUUUUAUUUUGUUUUUAAAUGCUACAUUUUUAAGUACCCAAUUAUUGCCUACGUUUUAUGGAUUAUCGUGUUCUUUUCUUAGUUUUAGUUUUUCUUUUACUUAGCUUUUAUGUUGAUUUUUAUGAUGUAUGACAAGUUUUGUCCUAUGAUAGAUUGAAUGACAACAUUCUUAAGGGUAAAGCAUCGUGAUUGGGUUUUGAGGCAUAGGUCCAGGGGAAUUCUAAGUACCAGUAGCAUAAAUGUCAUGACUACAAGAGAAGUCUAAGUGUCUAUGGCAUUUUAAAUCAUAAAAAUUGUAAAAUUGGGAUCAUGUUAUACACCGUUGGUGAAGUCUAAGUAGUCAUAUGGUUAGUUAGCUCAUUUUGAGAGUUAAGACAUCAAACCUACUAGUUGAGGAUAGAUGAGGUGUCUUAGACUGUCAUAUGAGGGUCCCAUCGUUCUCCUUAGAGUACCU